UUUUUUUUUUUUUUCAAUUUGGUCCAGCUUUGUUUAUACGACAAAAAAAAAAAAAAAAAAUUGAAUACAUACUAUGUUCCAGACCUUAGGUUCAGCACUGGAGAUACCCAAGGACUUCUUUAGCUCCAGAUUAUUGUGGAGCACCGCCAGAUCUCAGCUCUCUCCAGCUCAGAUCUUCCUCUCAUCUGACUGCCUGAGAAGUGUGGCUUCUCCAGGUAACAUUUUGUUUCUGUUCCUGCAUCCAUCUCCCAUAAUCACAAAUCACCAACCCAGCUUCUGUCUUCAGUCCAUCCCCAGAGCCCUUCUGCUCAGCCAGCCUGAGUACUAAGAAACAACAGGCUUUUUGCCUUUAUGUGAAUCUCUUAUACCCUUCCUUAGCGGUGAGCUAUUCCCAAAGUCAGAUGUUCAAGCUAGUCCUUUCGGCAAGUAGCCACCUUCAUUCUGUUUCCCAUUCAGAAUUCUCUUUGAAUUAGCAUUUCUCAAUGUUCAUUCUCUUAACAUACAGAUUAACCCAAUUGUUUCUGCACCAUCUUUUGAAAGGGUUGUUCUUUUUCUACUGAAUUACUCUGGGAUUUUUGUUUAAAAACCAGUUUACCAUAAAUUUAAUGAGUUGAUUUCUGAACUCUAUGUUGUUCCAUUGAUCUAUUUUUCUAUACUUUUGCUUAUGCCACACUAUAAUGAUUAUUGUAGUUUUUUACAUCCUGAAAACAGAGGCUGUUGGUUUAUCAAUAAUUUUUAAAUUAUUCUGGCUAUUCUAGGGGUCCCUAGGUGGCUCAGUUGGUUAAGCAUCUGCCUUCAGCUCAGGUCAUGAUCCCAGGGCCCUGGGAUUGAGUCCCACAUGGGGCUCCCUGCUCAGUGGAGAGCCUGCUUCUCCCUCUGCCUCUGCCUUUCCCCCUUCCCCUGCUCCUGGUCUCUCUCUUUCCCCCUCACUCUCUCUAAAAUAAAUUAAAAUCUUUAAAAAAAAAUCGGGCACUGAGGAGAGCACUUGAUGGGAUGAGCACUGGGUGUUAUACUAUAUGUGGCAAAUCAAACUCCAAUUAAAAAUAUACAAAAUAAAAAGUAAAUACUAAAAAAAUAAUAAAAUAAAAAAUAAAUUAUGCUGGCUCUUCUAGAUCUUUUAAAUUUCCAUAUACAAUUUAGAAUCACCUUGUCAAUUUCUACCCAAGGCUACUGGGAUACUGAUUGGACUUGUGUUCACACUAUAUAUCAACUCGGAGAGAAUGGACAUCUUAAUAAUAUUGAGUGUUCUGAUCCAGGGGCACAGUUUAUAUCUUUAUAUUUCUCUCAUUCUCUCAUUUCCGUCAUCAGUGCAUUCCUUUUUUACUGUACAGGUCUAACAUAUGUCAACUACAUUUUAUCCUUAAGUUUUUCAUGUUCAUUGCUGUGAUAGAAAUGAUACUGCCUCCUGAAUUAUCACUUACAGUGGUUCCCUGGAUGUGCAUGUAAAAACAAUUUUUAAAAUUUUGUUACUGAGACAUCUUGCUACCUUGCCAAGGUGAGACAUUAUUUCAUAUAAGUUUUUUUGUAGAUUCCUUAGAAAUUUUUAUACGGUUCAUCAUAUUCUCUGUGACUAGAGACAGUUCUACUUCUUCCACUUCUAAUCUGUAAGCCUAAUUUCUCUAAAUAGAAUAUCCAAAAUGCUGUUGAGGAAAUUAGUGAGGAUGAAUAUCCUUGCCUUCUAUGUGGUCUUAUAGUAAGAGCAUUCAGUUGUGCACCAUUACAUAUACGAUUACUUGUACAUUUUUCAUGGAUGCCCUUUGUAUGUCUGAGGAUGUUCUGUUCUAUAUUCCUGGUUUGCUGAAACAUCAAACCUCAUAAAAGCGAAAUUAAAAUGGAUUAAAGAAUUAAAUUUAAAAUGUAAUAUUAGAAAACCUUGGAAAGAAAACAUAGCAGAAAAUCAUCAGAAUCGAGGGCUUGGUGAAGAGUUAUCAGACAUGACACCAAGCCAUGACCAAUACAGAAAAAUGCAUUAGGUUAGAUUUAAUCAAAAUUAAGAACUACCACUCUGCCAAAGACAGAGGAUUCAAAAGACAAGCUACGGUCUGGGAGAAAAUAUUUGCAAAUCCUGUAUUUGACUGCUGGAGUCCAGCUCCAGCUGGGGUGGGUCUCUCAAAGGAAAGGACGGUGUCGGCAAAUAAGGAGACACACACACACACACACACACACACACACACACACACAGAGUCAGGGUGCAUACAUCUCCUCCUGAUCAUUUCGGAGGGGCUUUAUUUAUAUCCUUUUACAUUUCUUUGUUUUUCCAGUUUAUUUUUUAAUAGAUAAUUACAUUUUAUCGCAAGCAUCUUAGAUCACUCUAAAGAUUAAGAAACAUCUUUUUCAUACGAAAUGUUUUUCCUUUCAGCUUCUACUGCUAUAAUUAACACCUUUAUGGAUUUCUUGAGAAAGCAGUGAAUGCGACACAAAAGACAAAGGUGCUAGACAGAGCAUGACCUACUCUAGUGGAAAAACAAGUCUAUGGUAAUAUGGUUACAUGAAAGGGGUUAUUAUAGUCAAAGGUUAUAUGCAGAAAUGUUUA
rnacentral:lncRNA from 1 species